ACCCCCUGGAGAGACCUGAAAAUAGCUGUGCAGCAACGCUUCCCAUCCAACCAGCCAAAGCUUGAGAGGAUCAGCAGAGAAGAAUGGGAGAAACUGCCCAAAUACAGGUGUGCCAAGCUUGUAGCGUCAUACCCAAGAAGACUCGAGGCUGGAAUCGGUGCCAAAGGUGUUUCAACAAAGUACUGAGUAAAGGCUCUGAAUACUUAUGUAAAUGUCUGGAGGCCCAGCCGCUGCCGUCCUUGGGGACGAUGUUAACGUUGGGGUCGUUGCCCUUAUUCUCUGCCUUCAAACUGGGCAGGUUGGCAGGGGGGGGCAUGCGUCGACUGACGGCAACCUUUCCCAAACUCUGGAGCCCAUGUCUGGCAGCAACU
rnacentral:lncRNA from 1 species